CUUCUGGAACUGUUAAAGGAAUUUAUAUUUUGAGAGUGCUGAUUUUUCAUUGUUUCUAAUUUUAUAUCAAAAUUAUGGGUUUUCUUUUCUUGAUAGAGUGCCAUCUCUUAUCUACAUUUAUCACCCAUGAUUGGAUUGAUAUUUGGUUCACUAACGGGAAAUGGGAAGAAAAGUAAAAAGAAAAGUGAGUUUUUCAUAAGUAGCCAGCACAAAAAGUAAGUAUGCAUUUCAGAAAGAAAUUAGUGAAGGAUUAGUGAAACAUGGGAUAUGUAGAGGGGGCUGAAAACCCAGAACCUGAAAAAUCUUACUAGGAGAGGAGGCAGCAUGAAGGGAGCUGUUGAUGUGAAGAUUCCACACUUAUAAUUCGGAAAGUACACAGGAACCAUCUAUAGAACACCCUCUUGAUUAUUCUCAAAGAGAGUAUCUACGGUGUGGUCAACUCCUAACAAACCUUGCUUUUAAAUUGAUUGCCCUUGCCUUCUGUGCCUGGGUGCUUGAUAACAUAUGUCUCUAUUAAUGUUGCAUAGCUGUAUUUUUUCCCUUCAUUCACAUUUCACGACUUUAUGUUUACAUGUUAUGCAGACAAAAUCUUUGAAACUACUUCCCUUUUCAGGAUUCUUUAAAAACUAAAGAUGCUAAACCCUAAUAGCUCUAAGGAAGUUAAUUAUAAGCUUGAGUUAGAUUACCCUGGAAAAAGACAAAAUUAGGAAAUUGAAGAGCUUUUCAACUUCUCUAGUUGACUUUCCCACGGUAAUGUCAACCGAUGCUGGGUGGGGCAUAUCCACAGAGUCAGAGAAAGGAGUCACAUAGUUGACUCAAUGCUCCAAGUAAGAAUAUAUAUUGUCAAGUGGCUGGACCUAGUAGAGAGCACCAAGAGCUGUGAAACAGGAGUGGAAACUAGUUAAUUACUGAGAUUAUGAGUUUGGGAUGGAAAAUUGUCAGGGAUUUCUGGGCCCUGAAGCACAUAGUAGCUGUACAGCAAGGACUUGUUCAGCCAUUUCUGCUAUUCCUUCCAGGAGUAUCCACCACCUUCCUGUUCCUGGUCUUGAUUGGAAUUCUUUCUGUUACAGCUGUCUAGAGAGGCUGGGACGAAUGAGUAUGAAUGGUGGGGUUCCAUUCCAGACUCACAUUUUCCUAUGGAAGGAGCCUUAGAGGAUGAAUGGACAGAAGAGCUUCAACUCCCAGUGUUGUUGGUAUUGCAUGAUUUUGGUGGACAACAGCCACAGACAGUGCCCAGACCAGUGGAAGCAAUGGUGAGUUGUCUCUUUGAGACCUUGCGGAAUUUAAUGGCUUUGGCAGCAGAUAUAUAGAUAGAAAUCCAAAAGUAGAGUGAAAGAAUGGGAAUAUGGUGGAAUCUGUUUUACAGCUAAAAGUGCUAUGCUUAUGACACAUUAAUUAGACACUCAAUGGGGACUCCCAAGAUUGGGACAGUGGAGUUGAGCUUCCACAAUCAACUCAACAGUGAAGGUAAGAGAAAAUACUGUUUGAAAAUUUAAAAAACAAAAACUCCAGUUGCCAAGGUUGCCUGCAGACAUGUGGAUAUGUAGAAAACAGGUUUUCUUGGUGUUGCUUCAUGGACAAACUAACUCCACAAAGGACAUGGCAAAAUCGGAGUGUUUGGGGAAUAUUUACAACAG
rnacentral:lncRNA from 1 species